rnacentral:rRNA from 1 species
UACGUAGGGACCGAGCGUUGUCCGGAAUCAUUGGGCGUAAAGAGCGUGUAGGCGGCCACUUAAGUCCUGCGUGAAAUCUUGCGGCUCAACCGCAAGCGGUCGUGGGAAACUGGGUGGCUAGAGUUCGGUAGGGGAGUCUGGAAUUCCUGGUGUAGCGGUGAAAUGCGCAGAUAUCAGGAGGAACACCGGUGGCGAAGGCGGGACUCUGGGCCGAUACUGACGCUGAGGAGCGAAAGCGUGGGGAGCAAACAGG